CAUUGUUCUCAGCACACACAAAAUCACACAAUACCUCAACCACAUAAAUACCUCAAGUAUGCACCGGAGAGGUUGGGUGGUGGUGGCCGCAAGAGUGUAUAAUGACCUUCUACUGGAUCAAACACAGUCAGUGUGAAGCAUCUCUACUCAGCACAAUCUGACCUCAUCUGACCACCAACACACCACAACCACACAACCAAACAAUGUCUUUCAUUUGAAGAUCCUCACAUUAGAUCUAACAGUUAAGACACUCCAAAGCAGCCCUACACUGAACUGGGGGGUAUUUUCUCAGUAAGCUGGACCACGUCCUGUCCAAUAGGAAUGUUCUGCUCCUCUCUUAUUGUACAGACUUGCUCUUUGGCUUAUUUUAUCAUGCAAGCGCUCCAGGCUGAACUAUUUACAUGCCAAGACACGCCCCUGACCACAAACAUGACUCAGUACUGAGGGAUUUACAUUCACAUCACACCCGUUCCAGUUUCACUGGUCCACACGUUUCUUUAUGAGACAGAAAUUAAACCUAAUGCUCCAUGUUAGUCAGUGAGCGUUGAAGAUGUUCUCGCUCAGUGACUGUAAACCAUGUGACUGGUCCCAAACCGGUCUGACAGCAGAACUUUUAAGCUGUAAACAGUCUGAAGACACUACAGAUGAGUUACAUGCACGUGGCUGUAAAAGGGAUGAUGAAGGUUAAAAACUGUAUUACCUGAAGUUUCAGUAGAUCUUCCUACAGGAUGUUACCAAUACAGUUAGAGCUUUAACGUGAGGGAGAAGAAGUGAAGGUGUCUGAGGGUCUUUCAUUUCAGCCUGAUUCCCCUCAUUACUGCACCAGCCAUGAACAACAACAACAAAUGAUAGACUACUGCAGAUUCUGAACGUCGACAAAUGAGGGCUGUCAAUCAUUAAAACAGUUAACCCUGA